UACGGAGGGUGCGAGCGUUGUCCGGAAUCAUUGGGCGUAAAGGGCGCGUAGGUGGCCCGGUCAGUUCGUGGUGAAAGCGCGGGGCUCAACCCUGCGUCGGCCAUGAAUACUGCCGCGGCUGGAGCACUGUAGAGGCAGACGGAAUUCCGGGUGUAGCGGUGGAAUGCGUAGAGAUCCGGAGGAAGACCGGUGGCGAAGGCGGUCUGCUGGGCAGUUUCUGACACUGAGGCGCGACAGCGUGGGGAGCAAACAGG
rnacentral:rRNA from 1 species